rnacentral:rRNA from 1 species
GAGCCGCAGGGAAACCGAGUCUUAAUUGGGCGUUAAGUUGCAGGGUAUAGACCCGAAACCCGGUGAUCUAGCCAUGGGCAGGUUGAAGGUUGGGUAACACUAACUGGAGGACCGAACCGACUAAUGUUGAAAAAUUAGCGGAUGACCUGUGGCUGGGGGUGAAAGGCCAAUCAAACCGGGAGAUAGCUGGUUCUCCCCGAAAGCUAUUUAGGUAGCGCCUCGUGAAUUCAUCUCCGGGGGUAGAGCACUGUUUCGGCUAGGGGGCCAUCCCGGCUUACCAACCCGAUGCAAACUGCGAAUACCGGAGAAUGUUAUCACGGGAGACACACGGCGGGUGCUAACGUCCGUCGUGAAGAGGGAAACAACCCAGACCGCCAGCUAAGGUCCCAAAGUCAUGGUUAAGUGGGAAACGAUGUGGGAAGGCCCAGACAGCCAGGAUGUUGGCUUAGAAGCAGCCAUCAUUUAAAGAAAGCGUAAUAGCUCACUGGUCGAGUCGGCCUGCGCGGAAGAUGUAACGGGGCUAAACCAUGCACCGAAGCUGCGGCAGCGAACGUAUCACUUAAAGCGAUUCAGCGGGUUACGAUUGACGGAGCGAAGCGACGUCAAAGCGUAUACAAAGUCGAGUCGGUUUAAGGAUACGUU